UACGUAGGGGGCAAGCGUUGUCCGGAUUUAUUGGGCGUAAAGAGCGUGUAGGCGGCCAUACAGGUCAGCUGUGAAAACUCGAGGCUCAACCUCGAGACGUCGGUUGAAACCGUAUGGCUAGAGUCCGGAAGAGGAGAGUGGAAUUCCCGGUGUAGCGGUGAAAUGCGCAGAGAUCGGGAGGAACACCCGUAGCGAAGGCGGCACUCUGGGCCGAUACUGACGCUAAGGAGCGAAAGCGUGGGGAGCGAACAGG
rnacentral:rRNA from 1 species